GAAGAGGGCGACGAGGGUGACGAGGGUGAAGAGGGUGAAGAGGGUGACGAGGGUGAAGAGGGUGACGAGGGUGAAGAGGGUGACGAGGGUGACGAGGGUGAAGAGGGUGAAGAGGGCGACGAGGGAGCUGAGUCUCAAGCGAAGGGUCUACGUUCUGACCCUCACGUCAUGAGCUCUUCUCCGUACGGUGGCUGCGCUCAGACACUCUGCUUACCCUCUUUGUCCCGACCUCAGAUGAUGGAAGAAGAUUGUAAUUCAUGUUCUUUUCUUCAUCCAUGUUUGUCCUUCUAAUGCAAAAGUCAUAUUGUAUAAUAAUGGGGAGACGUUGAUAACACAUUGCCCGUCUCUGUGCGAAUGCUCUGUAAAAACGAAUGGUUGUGGUUCUGUUUGUUGGCUGCAUGAUGAGUCUUCUCGUGUGAACUCUAUAUUUUAUUAUCAGUCAUAUUAAUGACACGGCAGCAAGUUACAUGAGCUGGUGAGUUACAACCUUUUCUAUAUUUUUGUGUUGUUGGUGUAAAAUAAAGAAAUUAAAAAAGGUAUCUUAUUGUUCACAUCACACAUCCAUUUCUGUCGACUGGAUGUUAAACCGUCCGCGUUCCUCAAAAUCUUCUUGCACUUGGUUUCACACAGUGAGACGUUGGACAGCUUCACAUGUAGCCGCCCGCUAACGGUCACUUCCUCUUAUUCUCAUAGACGAGUUGCACAGGACUUGUUUGUGAUCAGAAUGGAUGCUACAGUAAUGGAAUAAAUGGUAAAUGGACUGUAUUUAUAAAGAUCUUUUCUAGUCAUAUAGACUCAAAUCGCUUUACAGGAAAGUCACAUUCAGACACAUUCACACUGUUGGAAGAGCUGUCAGAGGCGAUUUAGUGUUAAAUGUCUUGCCCAAGGACACAACGGCAGGUGGACUGGGGAAAGCUGGUAUCGAACCACCAACCCGAUGGUUGGUGGACGAGCGACUCAACCUCCUGAGCCACAGCCUGCAUGCUAACUUCAGUAGAAGCAAAGAAGUGGUCGAAGUGGGUGUGGCUACUGAGUCCAGGGUGAGUCCAGUGUGAGGCUACUGAGUCCAUCUUCUGUAUCGACUGAGUGGCCGAUACAGAAGAUGGUCGCAGGUCACGUGACCUAUGAGAGCGUCAGCUCUUUCUUAUCUCAGGCCUCAUCUGUACAGUUGCUCCCCUGCGGUGCACUUCCUCAUGUACCAGGUGUUGGGACACGCCCACUCACGAUCACACACAGAUAAAGUGACGGAUACGUUUGGAGCAUUUUGAUUGGCUGUCAGUCUCGUGGCUCUGGGAUAAAAAGACUGGUCGCUGCCAAAGGGCAAACGAGAACAAGACUCAUCAUCCUCAUCAGAUACGGAUCCUCUCCAGACCAACACGACAAGAGAAAAUGAACGUGGUUCUUCUGACUGUCGUCGCCGUCGUCACUGUGGCCGCUCACUCCAACAAGCCCUGUAGUGAAGACAAAGAUAAUGUGGUGUAUGAUGACUUUCUCAACAGACACAUCUUCACAGGAAACAUCGAAUCUACGAAUGUGACACAAUGGCAAUCAUAUUUAGAUGGAAAACAGCUCACUGGCGACAUUUACAGACGCACACAGUCCUUCAUCCAUGAGGAUAAGAUGGACGCCGUUCUGAAGAUCUGCCAAUCCGGCCUGCAAGUGAACAACAGCAACUUGUGCAUCAGCGAGGGACAAAUGAAUGUUUUUGAAGUCCAGUUAGAUAAAAACGCCAAGAGGGUCCAGUCAGUACAAAGAACGUGAUUGUGGCCUGUGACAAUGUGGAUAAUCAAUGCCGCCCAGUCCAUUUUGAGGCAAGGAAACACAAACCAAUGCAGCCCCACACAACAUGCCAGCCUAAGCCUUGGUGGUUACAGCUCUGACCUGGUGCAGGUGGAGGUUUGAUUCCAGGUGGUCCCUGUGUGGGCCCCUGGACAAGGCCCUUAGAGCUACUGUCCCUGCCUCCUCGACUGCAGGUCAGCAGAGUGAACGUAACGCAUCCAUUCAUCUUUCUAUCGCGCUUAGCUAAACAACAUGUGCUUGUUAAUGUGAAUAAAGGUCUGUUGCUGUGAAGGUGCUGGACGGUUUGUGUACGCUGGAUUAACAGCAGAAAACCGCUGCACCAUUCAAUAUCAGAUCAGCUCAAUUUGCUCUGCAGCAUCUUUUAAUAUUCCAGUUUGGUCCCCGCUCGCUUUUCUCCACAACAUUUUCAACUCAUAUUUCCUCUGUGUGUUCUGACUCACUGUGAAAUGUAUCUGGACCCGGACGAGUGUGAAGAGGAAGUGCAUGUGUCUGUCAUCUAAUGUCAACGCGCAAUAAAAUCUUACAGCAUGUCA